UGUAUUCCGGUGUGUAGGUCAAGUAACGCUCUGAACGUAUGUAAUUAGUUCUACAUUGGGUCUUUUAUUUUUUCCUUGCUUUAUCCCUCGACUCUGCUGCAGUAUAUUUUGUUCUAAUUUAUGGUGGCAUGAUCAGUGAAUAAUAGAUGUGCUUAAAUUAUGGUGUGGGUGAUAAGAAAAAUUUGCGAAUGUAAUAUAUUGGUACUAAUUGAAGUUUUUUUUUUGCAAGUUUAGAGAUUGGUUGGUACCUGCCUAAUGUUUACACAAAACCCAGAAUGUGUACUUUGCAUAGACUGGUACUUCAUCAUUGUAUUAAUCUGCCGGCUUUGAUUUGUUCUCUCCAUCGAAUGAAUUAAUUGUUCCACCAUCAAAAUAGGCAAUAAUGCAUGCAAAUCUCCAAAUGAAAUAAAUAAAUGUUGUGAUAGAUUCUAGCUACAGAUGUGUUCACUUCGAUAGUAAACCAACUUUUUUUUUGUUUCCAUUGCAGGGGCUAGAAAAGAACAAGCAGGUCAAGUGACUGAUUUUUGUAGACAUAUGUUCAUGGGGCUAGAAGGUUAAGCCAGGAACAACCUUAGUUGGGGCAUUACUGCAUAAAUAUGAAGACAAGAAGCCACGGGGCAGCGCGGACAUGAAUCAGCAGGGGCGGCGGUGCUCCGCUUAGAGGAGUUACAGGGGAGAGGAAGGAGGCCGGCGACAGGAGGUAAGAGCAAGCGGCCUUGGUUCAUCAUGGAGAACGACUGAUGCCCAUCCGGAUCCCCUCUACCUUCUUCUUUGAUGAGAAGCUCAUCUUGCCUGGUUGGCUGGUUCGCUUGUCUUCUCCUUUCCUGCUGCAUCCCUUGCCACUUCACUCUUCAUCCCCAAGAACUUGAUGUUGGGCUAUGACUUGUAAUGUUUGGGUUUGGGAGGCGGUAGACUAUUCCACUAGCCGUGACAACACCCAACAUUGGUGCACGGAGAUUCAGUGGUUGUUUCUGCCGUAUUAUUUAUGCCUAUGUGGAUGGUAUCAUCGUAUUGACAUGCUUUACUCUACUGACGUAUUCGUC